rnacentral:rRNA from 1 species
CCUACGGGAGGCAGCAGUGAGGAAUAUUGGUCAAUGGACGCAAGUCUGAACCAGCCAUGCCGCGUGCAGGAUGACGGCUCUAUGAGUUGUAAACUGCUUUUGUACGAGGGUAAACCCCGAUACGUGUAUCGGGUUGAAUGUAUCCUACGAAUAAGGAUCGGCUAACUCCGUGCCAGCAGCCGCGGUAAUACGGAGGAUCCGAGCGUUAUCCGGAUUUAUUGGGUUUAAAGGGUGCGUAGGCGGGUUGAUAAGUUAGAGGUGAAAGGUCGGGGCUCAACCCCGGAACUGCCGCUGAUAAUGGUGGACUAGAGAAUAGUUGCGGUAGGCGGAAUGUAUGGUGUAGCGGUGAAAUGCUUAGAGAUCAUACAGAACACCGAUUGCGAAGGCAGCUUACCAAGCUAUAUCUGACGUUGAGGCACGAAAGCGUGGGUAGCAAACAGGAUUAGAUACCCUUGUAGUC